rnacentral:lncRNA from 1 species
CACAGAUGCUCUCUAGAGACCAGGGUCUCAUGCCCUUGAUUCUGAGGGCCCCGGGCUUGCUGGAUGGGGGUUCACCAGGUAUCAUCCCGUUUCUGGUUGGAGCAAGGGACCUUGCCUCGCUAUUGAAAGCGCGCUGCUUUACUUCGAUUCUCCCCAUAAUCUCCGGAAUGAAGAGCAAGCGGUCCGGGCCGGGUGCGGUGGCUCAUGUCUGUAAUCCCGGCACUUCCGCAGGCCAAGGCAGGAGGAUCGCUGGAGCCCAGCCUGGGCAAAAUAGCAAGACCCCCUGUCUCUACCAAAAAAAAAAAAAAAAAAAAAAAGGCGGGGGUGGGGGGAUGGUUAACAAGCUGGGCAUGGUGGCGCACGCCGGUAGUUCCAGCUACUCGGUAGGCUGAGGUGGGAGGAUGGCUUGAGCCCAGGAUGUCCAGGCUGUGGUGAGCCAUGAUCACGCCACAGCACUCCAGCCUGGGCAACAGAGCGAGACCCUGU